GCUUACGGAUGAGCAAACAAAGUGGUUUCUUGAAAUGGAAUCUAUUUCUGGUGAAGAUGCUGUGGGCA
rnacentral:pre_miRNA from 3 species